rnacentral:tRNA from 1 species
GCGUCAUUAGUAGUUUGGGAACUGCCUUGGACUUCCAAUCCAAUGAUGCUCGGUUCGAUUCCGGCAUGACGCUCCA